CCAAAGGCUCUUUUCAGAGCCCCCUACCAUUUCAAAAAAAGAGCUAG
rfam:Sus scrofa chromosome 7.